rnacentral:lncRNA from 1 species
AAUAAACUUGAAGUUCGUUUAGAUGGGAAAUAUCAUCUAAAUUCUCACCUUGAGUACCCCUGAACUCCGUCCACAAUUUAAGAGCUGUUAAGCCACCAACUCUUUUAGACGCUUGUGAUAUGGACGAAGUAGGGGUUGGAAUAAUAGGCGUAGCAUGCUCUAACGCCUGUUUAUAAGCAUUAUAAACAGUUUGACCAUUCACUGUAAUUGAUGCUUUCGCAUCAGAUAGUGUAGCCAUUUCUUCUGGUGAAAGAUCUAAAGAUUGAUAAAUACUAUUAUACCAAAAGUUAGGACNNNN